CUCACCUCCGUCCAGGGCGGCUCGGCGCUGCAUCCUCCCCUCCCAAGCACGGCCGCCGCCACACACACCCAUCACCCCAUCAGAGUACACCUCCCAUACUCCUCUCUCUCUCGCUCGCUCGCUCUCCGUCGCUCCCCAUCCACCCUGCGUGCAUCGGAUCGACCUUGUUCCCUCUCCUUGCAAUGUGGGAGAUGGAAGGAGCCGCCCGUCGGCCACCAAUCUGAUGGAGGCGUGGUCAUCUACCUCCUCCUCUCUCCCCACGUUGGUCCAGCUUGGCGGCCGCGUCGGCGAAACUGCUGGCAGUGACACGGUUCGCGGGUGUGGCGAUAGGAAACAUCGGCUGGUCGUGGCCGCCUACCACGGUGAUCCCGCAGUCCAGCCUCCCCGCCUCCAAGAUGUGGCCUGGACGAGGCCGUCUUCUCCUUUCCUCCGUGGCGUCCAAUGAAGAUCUACACCGCCGUGGCACCACAUGGCUUGUGUUGUACCUUCACCCCGCUGCCCUUUUGUGCUGGGAAGAGGCAGCGUUUGUCCGUAGCACUGCAUGUCCCACAAUCACCAUUCCUUUCUUAUUUAGUGUCGUACAAGUGAUGCAAUCAGGAUUUGCUGGCCUUUUAACAUAUCCCUGGUGGAGUGAAGGGGACGGAAGAAUUGGCAAUACAAUGAGGAUGGUGCAUGGAGAACAUGCUCUGUUGCCAUCUUCAUCCGUGAAUUGGCUCCCAAAUCUAAAAGGCGCGGCUGCCGAAAUAGGAGUCUAACAAGGACCUGGUCACAAAGAAUGAGUUUGAGACAAACCUUGUGCCAUGUGUUAUCACACUCAGAUAUUGGAGCCUUGGGGAAUGUAAAAGAAAGGUUAAACAGAUAGAUGUGGCCCCUCUAAACUUACUUGAAUUGUUCAGCAAAGGUCCGCGAUUAAUGGUACCCAUGUACAUUCAGUAGGGCGAGUUGGUCUUGCUAUAUUGCAUUCAGGCAUAGUGUUGAAAUUUCAUCAAAAAUAAGUUCAAGCAUGAUAUUUAAGAUCGAUUCUGGAAGGAUGACCUGACACACCUGAAGAUAAGAAAAACAUAAGGUGACUAAAAAAUUCAUUGAACCAAAUGUGCCUGACUGAAUUUUAUUUGGAAGUACUGAAUUUUAUUUGGAAUCGUAUGUGUUAUUAUUCUUUGGAUGUGGCUGGCCAUUGCUAGCAUGCAUACAUGUAGCCACAUCUAUGUGAUAUGGUCAGUAUAUAUCUAUCAUGAGAAUAGUGUCUCAUACUCUCAUGCAAUCAAGUCGCAAUUGUUUAUCCUCUUCGAUUAUCUUGCACUGCAGAAUUGUUGUACGGAACAAAUUUAUAGGUGAUAUUCGUUAUUUCUCGGUAAUGUAUAUGGAACAAUAAUGAUCACACAUAUUCCUGUAAGCUAUAGUCUCUUCACAUUUAUGCAUAUUCUUGCUGAGGCAGAAAAGAAAAGUAGUUAUAGUAAGUAGAUAUAUUUCUUCCCAUUUGUGUAUUCUUGCCGGGAGAGAAAAACAUUAGCGAUAAAUAAGCAGUUAUGUAUAAACUUCUGCCAUGCAAACUGGAAACGAAAACUGAUUAUCAUUUUCUGCUUUCUGACUUGCAAUGCAGAAUGUGAGAGCUUAUACCCCCAUAAAACAAUUUUUUCUUGGGUGUCGAUUAGCAGAGGAGCUCCGAGGAGGCCACCAUGGAGCUGAUGCCACCUCAGCAAACAAAACCUGUGCAUAACGAGAACGACGAGACGAGCCAAUACUACAGAGCAGCUGGACCAUAGUGAGGUCUUAAUUUUAAGUAGCAAUCUUGGUUGUUAGCAUAGGUAAGGUUUGAAGUAUCUGUCCACCCUUUAAAAUAUAAGUGUCUAAAUACUAAAUAAUGAUUAUAGUGAUUUAUGACAAUCAGGUGCCGUUUGGUUUAGCAUAUAAGUGUCUAAAUACUAAAUAUAGGUAUCUAUCCACACUUUGGUUUAACAAUCAGGCACCAUUUUCUUCAUCUUGCUAGCUCCAGUUUGUUGCAAAGG